CCUACGGGAGGCAGCAGCUAAGAAUAUUCCGCAAUGCACGAAAGUGUGACGGAGCGACGCCGCGUGGACGAUGAAGGCCGGAAGGUUGUAAAGUCCUUUUAUAACUGAGGAAUAAGCCGUGCAGGGAAUGGCAUGGUGGUGACUGUAGGUUAUGAAUAAGCACCGGCUAAUUACGUGCCAGCAGCCGCGGUAAU
rnacentral:rRNA from 1 species